rnacentral:rRNA from 1 species
UCGAGAAUUUUUCUCAAUGGGGGAAACCCUGAAGGAGCGACGCCGCGUGAAGGAUGAAGGUCUUCGGAUUGUAAACUUCUGUCAUUUGAGAACAAUGUGCACGAAUUAACUGUUUGUGCAUUGAUAGUAUCAGAAGAGGAAGAGACGGCUAACUCUGUGCCAGCAGCCGCGGUAAUACAGAGGUCUCAAGCGUUGUUCGGAUUCAUUGGGCGUAAAGGGUGCGUAGGUGGCGAGGUAAGUCGGAUGUGAAAUCCCGGGGCUCAACCCCGGAACUGCAUUCGAUACUGCCCGGCUAGAGUACUGGAGAGGAGAUUGGAAUUUACGGUGUAGCAGUGAAAUGCGUAGAUAUCGUAAGGAAGACCAGUGGCGAAGGCGGAUCUCUGGACAGUUACUGACACUGAGGCACGAAGGCCAGGGGAGCAAACGGGAUUAGAUACCCCGGUAGUCCUGGCAGUAAACGGUGCGCGUUUGGUGUGGGAGGAUUCGACCCUUCCGUGCCGG